AGAGUUUGAUCCUGGCUCAGGACGAACGCUGGCGGCGUGCUUAACACAUGCAAGUCGAACGGAAAGGCCCUGCUUUUGUGGGGUGCUCGAGUGGCGAACGGGUGAGUAACACGUGAGUAACCUGCCCUUGACUUUGGGAUAACUUCAGGAAACUGGGGCUAAUACCGGAUAGGAGCUCCUGCUGCAUGGUGGGGGUUGGAAAGUUUCGGCGGUUGGGGAUGGACUCGCGGCUUAUCAGCUUGUUGGUGGGGUAGUGGCUUACCAAGGCUUUGACGGGUAGCCGGCCUGAGAGGGUGACCGGCCACAUUGGGACUGAGAUACGGCCCAGACUCCUACGGGAGGCAGCAGUGGGGAAUAUUGCACAAUGGGCGGAAGCCUGAUGCAGCAACGCCGCGUGCGGGAUGACGGCCUUCGGGUUGUAAACCGCUUUCGCCUGUGACGAAGCGCGAGUGACGGUAAUGGGUAAAGAAGCACCGGCUAACUACGUG
rnacentral:rRNA from 1 species